rnacentral:tRNA from 1 species
GUGGCUCAGUGGUAGAGUACAUGCCUUGCAUGCACGAGGUCCUGGGUUCAAUUCCUCAGC